rnacentral:rRNA from 1 species
ACUGCCCAGUGUUUAUAUUAACGGCCGCAGUAUCUUAAAUGUGCUAAGGUAGCGAAAUCAUUAGCUUUUUAAUUGAAAGCCAGUAUGAAAGAUUUUACGAGAGACUAACUUUUUCCAUUCUAACUAAACUUACUAGUAGGGUCAAAAAGCCCUAAAAAAUUAAAAGGACGAUAAGACCCUGAAAGCUUUAGCUUUAAACUACUAUCUAAGAUUGAGAAAAAAAUAAGCUUUUACUGGGGAGGUAAACUUUAAUUUAAACAAACUAAUUUUAAACACUAUGAGUGAAUUCAACUAACGCUUGACAAUAAAUAAUAGCUACUUCAGGGAUAACAGCAUAAUAUCUCUUUAGAGUUCUAAUCGUUAGAGAUGAGUGUGACCUCGAUGUUGAAUUGAAGCCUCUUCCCAGAGCAGCCCCUGGGAGAAGAAAGCCUGUUCGUCUUUUAAUAUUUCA